rnacentral:rRNA from 1 species
ACGGCUCAGUAACACGUAGUCAACAUGCCCAGGGACGUGGAUAACCUCGGGAAACUGAGGAUAAACCGCGAUAGGUCAUUACUUCUGGAAUGGGUAAUGACCCAAACCUAUAUGGCCCCUGGAUUGGACUGCGGCCGAUCAGGCUGUUGGUGAGGUAAUGGCCCACCAAACCUGUAACCGGUACGGGCUCUGAGAGGAGGAGCCCGGAGAUGGGCACUGAGACAAGGGCCCAGGCCCUAUGGGGCGCAGCAGGCGCGAAACCUCUGCAAUAGGCGAAAGCUUGACAGGGUUACUCUGAGUGAUUUCCGUUAAGGAGAUCUUUUGGCACCUCUAAAAAUGGUGCAGAAUAAGGGGUGGGCAAGUCUGGUGUCAGCCGCCGCGGUAAUACCAGCACCCCGAGUGGUCGGGACGUUUAUUGGGCCUAAAGCAUCCGUAGCCGGUUCUACAAGUCUUCCGUUAAAUCCACCUGCUCAACAGAUGGGCUGCGGAAGAUACUAUGGAGCUAGGAGGCGGGAGAGGCAAGCGGUACUCGAUGGGUAGGGGUAAAAUCCGUUGAUCCAUUGAAGACCACCAGUGGCGAAGGCGGCUUGCCAAUACGCGCUCGACGGUGAGGGAUGAAAGCUGGGGGAGCAAACCGGAUUAGAUACCCGGGUAGUCCCAGCUGUAAACGAUGCAGACUCGGUGAUGGGCCGGCUUCAUGCCGGCUCAGUGCCGCAGGGAAGCCGUUAAGUCUGCCGCCUGGGGAGUACGGUCGCAAGNACUGAAACUUAAAAGGAAUUGGCGGGGGAGCAC